rnacentral:rRNA from 1 species
UACAGAGGUCUCAAGCGUUGUUCGGAUUCAUUGGGCGUAAAGGGUGCGUAGGUGGCGUGGUAAGUCGGGUGUGAAAUUUCGGAGCUUAGCUCCGAAACUGCAUUCGAUACUGCCGUGCUUGAGGACUGGAGAGGAGACUGGAAUUUACGGUGUAGCAGUGAAAUGCGUAGAGAUCGUAAGGAAGACCAGUGGCGAAGGCGGGUCUCUGGACAGUUCCUGACACUGAGGCACGAAGGCCAGGGGAGCAAACGGG